rnacentral:rRNA from 1 species
AUUGAACGCUGGCGGCAUGCCUUACACAUGCAAGUCGAACGGCAGCACGGGAGCAAUCCUGGUGGCGAGUGGCGAACGGGUGAGUAAUAUAUCGGAACGUGCCCAGUCGUGGGGGAUAACGUAGCGAAAGCUACGCUAAUACCGCAUACGAUCUAUGGAUGAAAGCGGGGGAUCGCAAGACCUCGCGCGAUUGGAGCGGCCGAUAUCAGAUUAGGUAGUUGGUGAGGUAAAGGCUCACCAAGCCGACGAUCUGUAGCUGGUCUGAGAGGACGACCAGCCACACUGGGACUGAGACACGGCCCAGACUCCUACGGGAGGCAGCAGUGGGGGAAUUUUUGGACAAUGGGCGCAAGCCUGAUCCAGCAAUGCCGCGUGCAGGAUGAAGGGCCUUCGGGUUGGUAACUA